GAUGAACGCUGGCGGCGUGCCUAAUACAUGUAAGUCGAGCGAACGGACGAGAAGCUUGCUUCUCUGAUGUUAGCGGCGGACGGGUGAGUAACACGUGGAUAACCUACCUAUAAGACUGGGAUAACUUCGGGAAACCGGAGCUAAUACCGGAUGAUAUUUUGAACCGCAUGGUUCAAAAGUGAAAGACGGUCUUGCUGUCACUUAUAGAUGGAUCCGCGCUGCAUUAGCUAGUUGGUAAGGUAACGGCUUACCAAGGCAACGAUGCAUAGCCGACCUGAGAGGGUGAUCGGCCACACUGGAACUGAGACACGGUCCGGACUCCUACGGGAGGCAGCAGUAGGGAAUCUUCCGCAAUGGGCGAAAGCCUGACGGAGCAACGCCGCGUGAGUGAUGAAGGUCUUCGGAUCGUAAAACUCUGUUAUUAGGGAAGAACAUAUGUGUAAGUAACUGUGCACAUCUUGACGGUACCUAAUCAGAAAGCCACGGCUAACUACGUG
rnacentral:rRNA from 1 species